UUUCCGUAGGUGAACCUGCGGAAGGAUCAUUAACACUAACAUUUGUGCUGGCCGUCGCUCGGCGACCGAUCACUCGAUCACCGUUCGUACGUGCCUCACAUCUACUAUCCACCCGUGGUUCUGUUCUGUACCUUUGCCGCAAGGUGAAGGCUUAUCCACUCGAUCGCUGAGCUUUCCCUCUGGGAGACCAGUGGUAAUGGGCGCACGCACCGCACCGUCGUAUGUGUUGUGCUCUGAGCCGCAUAGGUUGAGUGGCCCUUUUUUACCUCCGCAUAGAAUACCUGCACUGAUUUCAUAUGCACGCGAAAGUGUGCGUAUGCUAUUGACUUCGGUCAAUAAACCAUAUACAACUCGUAACAACGGAUAUCUCGGCUAAC
rnacentral:misc_RNA from 1 species